rnacentral:miRNA from 14 species
CACGUAUGUGUGUGUGUGUGUGAAUGUGCCUUCAUGCUUGUGUAUUUGUGAAUACACACACACACACACACACACACACACAUAUAUACUC